rnacentral:rRNA from 1 species
AGAGUUUGAUCCUGGCUCAGGAUGAACGCUAGCGACAGGCCUAACACAUGCAAGUCGAGGGGCAGCACAAGGAUAGCAAUAUUCUGGUGGCGACCGGCGCACGGGUGAGUAACACGUAUGCAACCUACCUGUAAGAGGGGAAUAACCCGGAGAAAUUCGGACUAAUACCGCAUAAUACCUUUAAGCUGCAUGGCUUAAAGGUUAAACAUUUAUGGCUUACAGAUGGGCAUGCGUAACAUUAGAUAGUUGGUGAGGUAACGGCUCACCAAGUCAACGAUGUUUAGGGGUUCUGAGAGGAAGGUCCCCCACACUGGUACUGAGACACGGACCAGACUCCUACGGGAGGCAGCAGUGAGGAAUAUUGGUCAAUGGGCGAGAGCCUGAACCAGCCAAGUCGCGUGAAGGAAGACGGUUCUAUGGAUUGUAAACUUCUUUUGUAAGGGAAUAAAAAAGGGUACGUGUACCCUAUUGUAUGUACUUUACGAAUAAGGAUCGGCUAACUCCGUGCCAGCAGCCGCGGUAAUACGGAGGAUCCAAGCGUUAUCCGGAUUUAUUGGGUUUAAAGGGUGCGUAGGCGGAUCUUUAAGUCAGUGGUGAAAGUUUGUAGCUCAACUAUAAAAUUGCCAUUGAAACUGAAGAUCUUGAGUGUAAAUGAGGUAGGCGGAAUGUGUUGUGUAGCGGUGAAAUGCUUAGAUAUAACACAGAACACCAAUUGCGAAGGCAGCUUACUGGGAUACAACUGACGCUGAGGCACGAAAGCGUGGGGAUCAAACAGGAUUAGAUACCCUGGUAGUCCACGCAGUAAACGAUGAAUACUAGCUGUAUGCGAUAUACUGUAUGUGGCAAAGCGAAAGCGUUAAGUAUUCCACCUGGGGAGUACGUUCGCAAGAAUGAAACUCAAAGGAAUUGACGGGGGCCCGCACAAGCGGAGGAACAUGUGGUUUAAUUCGAUGAUACGCGAGGAACCUUACCUGGGCUUAAAUGUGCUAUGAUCGCUGGAGAAAUUCGGCUUCCCGCAAGGGCAGAGUACAAGGUGCUGCAUGGUUGUCGUCAGCUCGUGCCGUG